rnacentral:pre_miRNA from 1 species
AAUAAACCAAUUUUUCACUUUUUACAUUUAAUUUUUGACUCUUCGUCUUAUUCAAAAAUUUUUUGCGAUUGAUAUUUUUGUUUUUAUUAGAUGAUAAAUCAUGAAUAGUAUUUUACGUGGGACUAAUUUUUUAAAAUAUUUUCAAAUAAGAUAGAUGGUCCAACGUUGGACACGGAAACCGGACAAUUAUA